AUUGAACGCUGGCGGCAUGCUUUACACAUGCAAGUCGAACGGUAACAGGCCUUCGGGUGCUGACGAGUGGCGAACGGGUGAGUAAUGCAUCGGAACGUACCCAGAGGUGGGGGAUAACGCAGCGAAAGCUGUGCUAAUACCGCAUGUGAUCUGAGGAUGAAAGCGGGGGACCGAGCAGCAAUGUUUGGCCUCGCGCCUUUGGAGCGGCCGAUGUCGGAUUAGCUAGUUGGUGGGGUAAAGGCCUACCAAGGCGACGAUCCGUAGCUGGUCUGAGAGGACGACCAGCCUCACUGGGACUGAGACACGGCCCAGACUCCUACGGGAGGCAGCAGUGGGGAAUUUUGGACAAUGGGCGCAAGCCUGAUCCAGCAAUGCCGCGUGCGGGAAGAAGGCCUUCGGGUUGUAAACCGCUUUUGGCAGGAACGAAACGGUGUCCGCUAAUACCGGGCGCUAAUGACGGUACCUGCAGAAUAAGCACCGGCUAACUACGUG
rnacentral:rRNA from 1 species